UGAAUGCACCAAUCUCAUCUGAUUUUGGAAGCUAAGCA
ensembl:rRNA 5S_rRNA 5S ribosomal RNA